UACGGAGGGUGCGAGCGUUGUCCGGAAUCAUUGGGCGUAAAGGGCGCGUAGGUGGCCCGGUCAGUUCGUGGUGAAAGCGCGGGGCUCAACCCUGCGUCGGCCAUGAAUACUGCCGCGGCUGGAGCACUGUAGAGGCAGGCGGAAUUCCGGGUGUAGCGGUGGAAUGCGCAGAUAUCAGGAGGAACACCGGUGGCGAAGGCGGGUCUCUGGGCAGUAACUGACGCUGAGGAGCGAAAGCGUGGGGAGCGAACAGG
rnacentral:rRNA from 1 species